rnacentral:rRNA from 1 species
UACGUAGGGCGCAAGCGUUAUCCGGAAUUAUUGGGCGUAAAGAGCGCGUAGGCGGUCCGGUAAGUCGGCUGUGAAAGUCAAGGGCUCAACCCUUGAAAGCCGGCCGAUACUGUCGGACUAGAGUCCGGAAGAGGCGAGUGGAAUUCCCGGUGUAGCGGUGAAAAUGCGGCAGAUAUCGGGGAGGAACACCGAUGGCGAAGGCAGAUCUCUGGGGCCAUUACUGACGCUGAGGAGCGAAAGCAUGGGGGAGCGAACAGG